rnacentral:rRNA from 1 species
AACGAACGCUGGCGGCAUGCCUAACACAUGCAAGUCGAACGAGACCUUCGGGUCUAGUUGCGCACGGGUGCGUAACGCGUGGGAACCUGCCCUUAGGUUCGGAAUAACUCCCCGAAAGGGGUGCUAAUACCGGAUAAUGUCUUCGGACCAAAGAUUUAUCGCCUUUGGAUGGGCCCGCGUUGGAUUAGCUAGUUGGUAGGGUAAAAGCCUACCAAGGCGACGAUGCAUAGCUGGUCUGAGAGGAUGAUCAGCCACACUGGGACUGAGACACGGCCCAGAAUCCUACGGGAGGCAGCAGUGGGGAAUAUUGGACAAUGGGCGAAAGCCUGAUCCAGCAAUGCCGCGUGAGUGAUGAAGGCCUUAGGGUUGUAAAGCUCUUUUACCCGGGAUGAUAAUGACAGUACCGGGAGAAUAAGCUCCGGCUAACUCCGUG